CGACGAUGUUGAUGGGCGAGCUGGUGCUGUAGGACUUGGCCAGGCGGCUGGGGGACUGCUUCGGGGAGGAGAGGCGCUGCGCGCCGGCGUAGGCGGCGCCCUCGGCGGCGGAGCCGGCCCGCGGCAGCUUGGUGGGGGAGCCGCCGGGCUGCAUGGGCAGCGGGGAGCUCACCCGCUGCGCCGGCAGCGUGGAGCUGGCGUAGUAGAGCGCGGCGGCGUGCUGGGGCUCGGGCAGGUGGAAGGCGCUGCCAUGGCUGGGCGCGAAGGGCUCCCGCGGCUGCGGGGCGGCGGGCGGCGGCGGCUCCGGGCCGCCCGGCUGGGCGCCGCGGCCCCCCGGGCCCUGCUGCGGGAAGGAAAGGCAGAGGCGUCAGCGGGGCCGCGCGGGGACGAGGAGAGGCGGCGGCGGCUCGCCCGGGCCCCCCCACCGCGCGCGGCCCGGGGCCGAGAGCCGCGAUCCGAGAUCCGCUCGGCGGGAGGCGCCGGAGCCGGGGCCGCCGGGGGGGCUCGGGAGCUCGUCCGCCCGGAGUUUACGUCGACGACCCCGGCCCCCGAACUUCCACGCUGCGAGUGACGGGCGGAGAGCCGCCCUCCCGGACCCGCAGCCGCCUCUCGCGGCCCACCCGGCCCUGAGGGAGCGCAGCGGGGCGGGAGGGGCGGCCCCGCUCCCGGUGCCGGCGGCCGGCUCCCAUCCCGGGCGCGGGAGCUGAUCUGCGGCUGUUAACUCCGCUAACAUCCACACCCGCCGGUCACCGCGCCCCGCAGCGAGAGGCAGCUCGGCUCUGCCGGCAGGCACGCUCGUGUUUCAGAUGUUUGCUUGUUUGUUUAUUUUUUUAACUUUUUUCUUAUUCCUGAUGAUGCGGAGGAUUUACAUGAAACCUUAGCGAGUGCUGCAAAUCCCGUGAGCUGCAGUUCGAGGCAGACUGGCCAGAGCCUCGCCCCACCGCGCACCUCUCAGCGAGGCUUCUUGAGCCAGAACUGCCUUUAAAAUGCAAAUAGUGCAUUCUGUGACUCAGCUCGGAGUUGCAGUGAAUGCCGUGAAUGCCGACAGCAGCGUUGCUUCACAUUUAAAUAGAAGCGUGGGAUUUUUUUUAGUCCCAUCCUACAGGGAAAAAAAAAAAAAACAACAACGACCAAAAGCAAACAACCAAGUAAAACAAGAUCACCGCAUUCCAGCAAUGAAACUUGAUUUAUUUUCACUAGGAUACCCAACGGAGGAUUUUGGUGAGGAACUGAGGACAAGACAGAAAAGAAAAUAGUCAGAACCAUGCAUGUAUGAGGCUCAGAAUGCCAGAAACGUGCUCCUUCCAAUGUACACCUGCUGGAAAUGUUUCCAUCCUUUGCUUUUGAUUUGGUCUUUAACCUUGGGAGCCCCAGAGUUGUUGUGGGGAUGGCCAAGAGGCCCCGGAGGAGCUCCCUCUGGCUGUUGGUGGCAGGGAAGCCACCAGCACUCAAAGCACUCAGACACUGCGAGGCGGCCAAACUACAUGGCUUCAGGAGGCUUCCCACAUGCAGGACAUCUCUGUAUCCUUACGGGUAAAUCUGAUGAAAGCCGUGCCCGUUCUGCAAUGUAAGUCCUAAGCGGGCAUGGGGAUGGCCAACAGAAGCAGUCUGCUCACUGCUGUGAGGCUGGGAGGUAAAAGCACCGCAGCACAAAUAGGUGCCUUGAGAUUGUUACAAAUGGCCAGCAGCUUCAAGUCACUCGCGUGAGGGACUCGUGACAAAACCGAGGGAACAUCAAAUAACUUUUAAGAGCUGCCUGCAUUCUGAGCUACUUACCGUCUUGAAAGAGAACAGAAGGGCUAACCUGAAACUGACUUCCCAGUAACGUAUUUGACAAGAACACGUUUUUCAUUUUCAAGGUUUAAACUGUACGGCAGCAUCUUCUAUAAAACAAAACCAGGCUGCCAAGAUUUAAGGCAACGUGUACAAAGCAAGGCUUGCACACGACGAAUGGCUGUUUGAACCAACGACGUUAUCCACUGCUGCUUGGUAAUAGAUUUUACUUUUUGAACGGUUAAAAUGGACCAACGUAAUAAGUUACUUUCUAAUAUUCAAAAUAGCUCCAAAAUACAAUAAUACAGACUGUUACCGGGGGGUUCCCAGCACACUGAUAACUUGGUUUUAUGGAUUUUAGGCAAUCCUUGUCAACAUGCGUGCAUUAUUUCUUUUUCUAAUCUACUUUUACGCUGCUUGAUGUGUCAAGGAUUUAAAGUAAUUAAUUUCAAGUAAACCGAUAUUAUCCCAUAUUCCUAAUAAAUCUCUAUAAAGCUGUAGGCAUUCUGUAAGCACUAAUUCAAAAACCAGAAAUCCCACUCUCUGAUUGAUUGUCUGUUACAGGGAAGAAGAUGUAGUGGCGGACACAAGAAUGAAAUGCUUAAUUAAGAGCCCAGUGAGUAGCACUUCGUGGAAAGCCAAGCAUUUGCUCCAUGCGAAGGAGAGAACUUUGGAUGAACAGAUUGCAAGGAAACGUUAGCAUGCAGUAAUUUUGGAGAUGUGACUAAUCUCAGACCUGUCUUACAUUUAUUGUGAGGUUCUUAUUUUUUCCCAAAGGAUCGAAUACAUUUGCAUUCUCCGGUUGUGUUUUCAGAGGCAAAAUGCACUUUAGUUGUAGGUUUCUCCCUGCUUGUGGCUUAAGACAACAAUACGGGUACGUCAUUGUUCAUCCUGCAAUCCAACACUACACUACAGCUGGAAGAAUGAAAUACAAUGGUAUUUGUUCCGUUAUUUUUCCAUUUAUCCAUUACUGCUGUCAACCUGAUAAUGAAACUGUGUUUAAACAAAUAAAUUGAGAGCCAAUUUGCUUUCCAGUUGCUCUAUCCUCAUGCAUCAAUCUAUUUCAUGGACACGAAACAAAACAUCAAGGACUUCUUUCUUACAGCCCUGCAGAUACCUCUUCCGAGUCAUUUUUCUGGCAUCCCAAAGAAAAGGAUCCUGUUUUGCUUCUUUGGAUUCAAUGUAUGAGUUCCGUUAUAUCCUUUUUCAUAGCAGAAGUAUGUGAAAAAGCAUGAGAAUAUUAACAUAACGAUGAAAAAUAUUUUCUUGAUUAAUGUUACUGGCAAGAUCGUUUUCUACUGAUGCUGACCAAAGAUGAUCUGCAGACCUCUGUACGUUAAACUGCUGAGGGUGUCCAGGUAGAUGAUGGUAGACUAAUGGUCUAACUGAUGUUGGGCUGCCAGCAUUCAUGUUUCUAAUACACCAACUUUUAGGACACCCACUUGCCAUUUUUAUUUAUUUAUUUUUUAAUAAUUCAAUUUGAAGAAAACAUUUAAAUCAGAGCUUUACCUGAAAAAGAUGGAGUGAAAGACAGCGCAUUCCGUUGCACUGUCUUUUCACUGAAAUCUGUGAUUUCUGUUUUAUAAAGUGGAACCGAGAGGGACAAAUAACUGAAUUAUUUAUUCUGCUGGAAAUUAUUCAUGGAUAAGGAGCUACAAAUUCCUCGAUGGUUGGACAGCUUAAGCAACACUUUGGGGUCAGCUGCUGAUUACUGAAACGUCAGCAUGUUGUUUCUUGGAGGCUGCUCCCAGCGGGAAGAAAAGUGUGUAAGAGCAGCAAAAACUGAACACGAAGUCUCAGAGAAUCAAAUGACCAGUAUGGAUAUUUUAGCAGAUGCAGCAGAUGUGUUUUCUAUAAUCAUCUAAAAUCUCUUCAGGUUAUUUUUUCCUUAAGCAUGCCAAAAUGCAAAACCAAAACCUGGUAGAUUCUGUACAUCUAUACUACAUAGGUGCUAAGGAACAGAAUGUCUGUCAAUGCAGCUGGCUGAGUCUCAGAUAUAACUCAAAAGGCUUCAGAGUCAUUUCUUGGGAAUGAAAGAAAAUUUCCAGGAACAUGCUGGAAGAUUUGUGUCAUGGUACCAUUUAUCCUCAAGAAACUACAGUUUGUGCUCAGUGUCCUCUGUACUUCCCUGACUGAGAACAGAAGAAACUGAAACAUUGUAUUACUUUUGGGUAAGCCUGCAUGCCUAUUUCACCUUUGGAUGUACUUGUAUUCUGAAGAGUUUUUAGUACUUGGCAGGCUUAGGGAUAAAUAAACCAGUUUUCAGACUGUUUUGCUCUCUGGAGCUCUCAGGGAUUACGUAGCCCUUACAGUGUCAAACCCCAGCACGUCUCUUUGAGGCAUGGGUAUGUUCAGAAAAGAAAGGUUGCAUCCAGUGAUAAUGGACACCAUCACAGCACACCGUUGCCUGUGAGGAGAGCUUUCUGUUGAUUCUAGGAAGGACUUUCCAACCGGGUGCUUGGAUUGUGUGGAAGGCAUUCCUCCAGGCUGCUGAAACACCACGGCUUCUUGAAUAUCAGUGGUUGUUGUCAGCUUUAGGCAGUAAACUUGACUGUCCUUAUCAGGGUUUUUGAGAGGCGCUGGUGGUCUCUUAAGUGUCCAGCUCUCUUAUAUAAUCCACAUGAUGUUCUGUGCUCAUUCAGUGACUGCAAGGCUUCCUCAGUUUAUUGAGAUUCCCUUUUGGUUUGUUUGUUUGUCGUCAGCUCAAAGAACCCCCCCAUAUGGCUUCACUCAAGGUAUCACCCUCUUCUGGUCCAAAACUUCCAUCAGCACUCUUCUGCAAAGGGCAGAAGACAUGGCAAAUACUUAACAUUCCCCAGUCUUCAUGAUACAGACUUCAGUCCUUUCGCAGAACCCGUGGGUGGAUCUUUCUUCUGCAGGACUGCUUUGCUGUCAUUUGUAAGUUCCUGACCUAACCAGGAAGAUACCAUCUAUGUUCAGAUGCACUUCUACGAUAACAGAUGCUGACUGUACCUGUGAAUCCUUUAACUGCGGCCUAUUUUAUUUUUCUCCCAAUUUCACCACAAAGGUCAUGAACAAUGCAAGGUCAUCUCUAUACAGUACUUCAAAGCAUACUCCAACACCAUGAGGAAAACGUGUCAGCCUACCUGAUCCUAAUCACAGCGGUUAGAUGAACUUGGCUAAUACCAUCACAGUCUUUACAUCAAGAAACAGAAUUUGUGAGAUCCUUUAGGCUGUCUAGAGAUGGCCAAGCUCUGGUUUUAAAGUAGCAUUACUGGAUGCAUUCAUUAACUACUGUAGGAUCAAACCACCAUGAUGCAGGUCUUUUUUUUCAUUAACAAACUAUUCUAGUGAAUUGUUCUCUGUGAAUGUUUGUAGUAAGAGUAAUCUGUCCUAAGAUUUCAUCUGCUUCCUUUACUUCUUGUGGUCAUGUUCGGAACCCAAUUUUAAGCCCCUCAUCAUCUGCCACACCCUACCAGAAGUGAAGUCCUUCUUUCAGAUUUUGCCUGGACAGAGUUUCAGGCUGCUCAUCACCUGACUCAUAGCAGGAAUAAACAUCUUCUAACUGAGAAUGGCCAGCAUACAGUCUUUACUUGAGAAGUAAAUACAUUCUGGUGCUAUUUUGCCUACAUUCUAAAUAAGACUAGUGAGAAGCAGUGGUCUGUUGAAUAACUAACUUAUGACUUGGUCGGAAGAAAAUGGAGACAAGUUAAAAAAUUAACUGUUUCAAGGUUUUUUUUUUUUUUUUAAUGGUUUUCAAAUUCUGUGCCAGCACGUCCAGGCACUUUAGGAGCAUGGGAUAAUAACACAAUAGUGAUUAACCUUGCCUGCUGCCUUGACCUCUGAGAAGAACACGUGAUCAGCAGAAGCUAGAAAAAAAAAAUCUUCACCCAGAAAUGUUAAUUUGUUCCACUUCCUUUCCCUUCCCCUUGCAAGUACAUGGUAGAACAAGCUGAAAACCACUGUUUGCACUCCAUGUGUUUUAUGUUCCUGUAAUAUCUACAAGGUCCUGUAAAUCAGCAGCAUGGAGAAGAUUAGAAAAAAAACAGAGGAGGAUGAUGGACAUGCCUACAACUGGGAGCCAACCCACAGUGAAACCUCAGAUGGGAUGGAGAGCAGAAGGCUUUGCCAGGAAUGAGAGAAGACAAAUGGGAUUUUCCUUCACAGUCUGGAAACCCAGGCCCUGGAAGGCAUGGCAGAGUUAGAAGAGUCAUCCAUUUGGAGAGUGAGGGAAGCAGAGAGGCUUCUUCUGAAGCUCUUUUCAUUGUAUUACCCACCCUUCUUACUGGCAGUUGUGUUACAGACAGUGCACACAAAGCAAACCUACUCAGUGUUGCAUGGCUACCUCAUUCUUCAUCCUGCCACCUUGGGACUUCCUUGAAAGUGGUCCAAAACAAAGGAAAAAAAAAACAAACUCUCAUGGAUUACUCUGUGACACUCAAUAUUCAGUUCCAG
rnacentral:lncRNA from 1 species